CGAGUGUGCUACCGCUUGAGCCACAUCCCCAGCCCUGAUUGGAUUUUUUAUAGCGAGACCCUGUCUUCCACUCCCUGAAGUAGACCUACCUCGAGUCUUGCCUGGAUUCCUGAUCUAGCAUUUAUUUCAAGCUACAAAGCCUUGGAAUAGUUAUAUGGCAAUACCCCAUAGAGCCUGGCAGAUGGGAACAGAUGCCACUGUCCCAAGCCAGAUCUUGGGAUGGAGCCAGAUCUUCUCCAGAACCUGCAACUGCAGCCUCGGUCUGCAGGGGGCACUGCGGGCACACAUUUCUCCAACAUGUGACCAGAAGCUUCCAUCCCCAGCCAGGAAAGGGGAAAGUAGCCCUGGCCAGGGCCUUGCUGAUGGGAAAGCUUGUCAGAACCUGCAGCCAGCACUUGAAGGGUGGACUGCAGCGUUGGAGCCAGUUCCCCAGGCCUGAGACCGCACAACUUCCAGGCUCAUCUUGCAACCGACGAACAAAUCAGUAAUCAAUUUCCACGGUUCCGGGUUUCCUUCUGUUCCAUUAUGUUUUCAUAGCAGGGCGGCUACUACCAGCUACUACUCGCUAAAAUGUUGGCAGCUGAAUUCAAUUUUAUAAACUAACAACUGGGCAACACACAUGAUUGGGCCUCAUGGCCCUGAGGCCACCAGUUUGAGACCUCUGUAAAUGUGUCCUUUUUCAGCACUGCCCUUGUCAUUCCUGAAUGGGAUGCCCAGUUAGAUGUGAAUGUCAGAUAAACAACUAAUAAUUUUUUAGUGUUUAAGUAUGUCCCAUGCAAUAUUUGGGACAUAGUAAAAGAAUAUUUGUUGUGUAUAUGAUAUUCUAAUGUAAUGAGCUAUUAUGUACUUUUUUUUGCAAAAUCUGGCAACCCCUGUCUUGGGGCACCUGGCUUGGGAGAGUGGCAUCUGUUCUUUAAGAUGCAGCUCCAUGGACCUGGUAUCUUCUGAGUAAAUUUCAUAUAAUUUGUCAACUUGAA